rnacentral:rRNA from 1 species
AAAUUGAAGAGUUUGAUCAUGGCUCAGAUUGAACGCUGGCGGCAGGCCUAACACAUGCAAGUCGAGCGGUAGCACAGAGAGCUUGCUCUCGGGUGACGAGCGGCGGACGGGUGAGUAAUGUCUGGGAAACUGCCUGAUGGAGGGGGAUAACUACUGGAAACGGUAGCUAAUACCGCAUAAUGUCGCAAGACCAAAGUGGGGGACCUUCGGGCCUCAUGCCAUCAGAUGUGCCCAGAUGGGAUUAGCUAGUAGGUGGGGUAACGGCUCACCUAGGCGACGAUCCCUAGCUGGUCUGAGAGGAUGACCAGCCACACUGGAACUGAGACACGGUCCAGACUCCUACGGGAGGCAGCAGUGGGGAAUAUUGCACAAUGGGCGCAAGCCUGAUGCAGCCAUGCCGCGUGUGUGAAGAAGGCCUUCGGGUUGUAAAGCACUUUCAGCGGGGAGGAAGGCGGUAAGGUUAAUAACCUCAUCGAUUGACGUUACCCGCAGAAGAAGCACCGGCUAACUCCGUGCCAGCAGCCGCGGUAAUACGGAGGGUGCAAGCGUUAAUCGGAAUUACUGGGCGUAAAGCGCACGCAGGCGGUCUGUCAAGUCGGAUGUGAAAUCCCCGGGCUCAACCUGGGAACUGCAUUCGAAACUGGCAGGCUAGAGUCUUGUAGAGGGGGGUAGAAUUCCAGGUGUAGCGGUGAAAUGCGUAGAGAUCUGGAGGAAUACCGGUGGCGAAGGCGGCCCCCUGGACAAAGACUGACGCUCAGGUGCGAAAGCGUGGGGAGCAAACAGGAUUAGAUACCCUGGUAGUCCACGCCGUAAACGAUGUCGAUUUGGAGGUUGUGCCCUUGAGGCGUGGCUUCCGGAGCUAACGCGUUAAAUCGACCGCCUGGGGAGUACGGCCGCAAGGUUAAAACUCAAAUGAAUUGACGGGGGCCCGCACAAGCGGUGGAGCAUGUGGUUUAAUUCGAUGCAACGCGAAGAACCUUACCUGGUCUUGACAUCCACAGAACUUUCCAGAGAUGGAUUGGUGCCUUCGGGAACUGUGAGACAGGUGCUGCAUGGCUGUCGUCAGCUCGUGUUGUGAAAUGUUGGGUUAAGUCCCGCAACGAGCGCAACCCUUAUCCUUUGUUGCCAGCGGUUAGGCCGGGAACUCAAAGGAGACUGCCAGUGAUAAACUGGAGGAAGGUGGGGAUGACGUCAAGUCAUCAUGGCCCUUACGACCAGGGCUACACACGUGCUACAAUGGCAUAUACAAAGAGAAGCGACCUCGCGAGAGCAAGCGGACCUCAUAAAGUAUGUCGUAGUCCGGAUUGGAGUCUGCAACUCGACUCCAUGAAGUCGGAAUCGCUAGUAAUCGUAGAUCAGAAUGCUACGGUGAAUACGUUCCCGGGCCUUGUACACACCGCCCGUCACACCAUGGGAGUGGGUUGCAAAAGAAGUAGGUAGCUUAACCUUCGGGAGGGCGCUUACCACUUUGUGAUUCAUGACUGGGGUGAAGUCGUAACAAGGUAACCGUAGGGGAACCUGCGGUUGGAUCACCUCCUUACCUUAAAGAA